rnacentral:rRNA from 1 species
CCUACGGGAGGCAGCAGUGAGGAAUAUUGGUCAAUGGGCGCAAGCCUGAUCCAGCCACGUCGCGUGAAUGAUGACGGCUCUACGUAUUUUAAACUCCUUUUGUAAGGGAGUAAAUUGAGGCACGUGUACCUUUUUGCCUGUAUUUUAUCACUCAGGCUCGGCUAACUCCAUGCCAGCAGCCUCGGUAAUACGGAGGUUCCUAGCGUUAUCGGGAUUUAUUGGGUUUAAAGGGAGCGUAGAUGGGUGGAUAAGUCAGAUGUGAAAUCUUUCUGCUGAACCGUAGAAUUGCAAUUGAUACUGUGAGGCUAGAGUGCAGUUGAGGUAGGCGGAAUUCGUGGUGUAGCGGUGAAAUGCGUAGAGAUUAGGAAGAACACCGAUGGCGAAGGCAGCCUACUAAACUGCAACUGACGUUGAGGCUCGAAAGUGUGGGGAGCAAACAGGAUUAGAUACCCCAGUAGUC